AGUAAGUCAGGCGGUUGCGGGCGCCGUAAGGCGCGUGAGGAAAGUCCGGGCUCCAUAGAGCGAGGAUGCCGGGUAACGCCCGGUGGAGGCGACUCCAAGGAUAGUGCAACAGAAAAGAAACGCCUUUUGAAAAGGUAAGUGUGGAAAUGUGAGGUAAGAGCUCACACGGGGGCUGGCGACUGUCCCCCGGUGUAAACCCCAUCCGGAGCAACAUCAACGCGGGAAACCAAGCCUGCUCGGCGCUUCCCCGAAUGAUGGCUUGAGCGCAUGAGCAAUUGUGCGCCACAGAUAGAUAACCGCCCAAUACAGAACCCGGCUUAUAGAUUUGCUCA
rnacentral:RNase_P_RNA from 1 species